AUUUAUUGAGCAUUUACUUCGUUGGGCUUUGAACCCAACAGACGAGUUUCAGCCAUCCUGAGCCCACACAAACAUCCCGAAGUAUAAAGCCAGGGAGGAUUUCAAGUUAGGCACAGGUGAAGGUAUAUAUGGCUGUUGUGUGCGGUUCUCUUUGAUCAUAGAUGCUGAUUGUAUGAAACCAUUACCUUAUAACAUUUAAAGAUAUCAGAGUGUAAACCUUCAAAUAAAUCAAUACAGGUUAUAAGGAGGAUAGAUUUUCUGUGUCCAACCUGACAUUAUUGGAUUCAACAGUGAAUCUUCAAAUAUGUCUAUACAUUCUUUGUUACUAUGUUUCAUGAUAUUAAAAAAAAGGAACUAGUAAGUUGAAAAAAGUACUUCCAAGGAUGUAAACAUGAAGAUAUUUUAGUAAAGAAAGAUCUCUCUUCAUAUGGUAAGACUGUCCUACCAGAGCACCUACAUGGUGGCUCACAAUCCUAACUCCAGUCCCAGAGGAUACAUCGCCCUCUUCUGGCCUCCUUGGACACUGCAUGCACAUGGUAAACAGGCAUACAUGCAGGCAAAACAUCCAUACACAUAAACAUAAAAAUAAAUACAAAACAAGUUUUUAAAAAUUAAAAAAGGACUUUGCCCUAGAGUGUGAUGGCUGGAUUUUUCCCAAAUGAGAUUGAUUAAUACACAUGUCACAGAAAGACCUGGGCAAAUUGCAUGAGGUUUAUAAAGGAUGAGACUAGCCAGAGGACCAGGCAAUCUGCUGUGAGACUGUUUCCUUGAAAUGAUAGGAAGGCAGCUGGGAGGUGUUAAUCCCAGCAGAGACAGGCUGAUUAUUUUUUAAGGUUUUUAUUUAUUUAUUUAUCAUGUGUACAACAUUCUGCUUCCAUGUAUAUCUGCACACCAGGAGAGGGCACCAGAUCUCAUAAGGGAUGGUUGUGAGCCACCACGUGAUUGCUGGGAAUUGAACUCAGGACCUCUGGAAGAGCAGUCGGUGCUCUUAACCUCUGAGCCAUCUCUCCAGUCUGACAGGCUGGUCUUUAUGAGUUCCUAGUCCACAAAUCAAGUUCCAUGCCAGCAGGGGUCAUACAGUGAGACAUGGUCUCAAAAUCAAAUGAACAAAUAAGUAGAUAAUAAACAAAUAAAAUUUCCAUUUCUGAGGGACAUACAUAUACUUUUUCCUUACCCCAUACAUCAUAACAAUUAUUGGCAGCAUUUACAUUGUGGUGGUAUUACAGGUAACCUAGGGGUGGCUGAAAGCCUGAGAGAGGGUGUGCAUCUGCCACACUCAAACACUUCAGCAUCUUAUAUUGAAUUGCCCAAAGUAACUCCAUUCUGACCCAGUUUUAGUGCACCUAGACGUUCCCCAACCCCCUGCUAAGUACAUCCUCUAUUCUCAUGUUGCCACAGCUGUAGCUUCCAGGGGUCUGCUGUUGUACAACACAAAACAAAUUGUUUUAGUCGGAAUACAACCUGUCUGGCUAUAAACAGGAAUGGAUGGCUGUUGGCCAGGUCAGGACCUAUGAGCCCUAAACAAGGCGACUGUUAUCCCACACCCAGUGGUCUGUAGCCUCUGCCCUCUCUGGAGUCUCAUCCCUGCUGAUGCUGCAUUCAUCAUGUGUCUGGAUGCCUUUUUUUUUUUUUUUGGUUUUUCGAGACAGGGUUUCUCUGUGGCUUUGGAGGCUGUCCUGGAACUAGCUCUUGUAGACCAGGCUGGUCUCCAACUCACAGAGAUCCACCUGCCUCUGCCUCUCAGUGCUGGGAUUAAAGGCGUGCACCACCAAUGCCAAGCAUGGAUGCCUUUUUCUGUAUCCACCUGGCCCCUCAGAGCCAACCAAUCCUCACCUUCCAAUAGAAGAAACCUGAAAAGGAUGACAAGGGCCAGUUAAUGUGGACUAGACUGCCUCAAUGAUUCAAAACUUCUCAAACUAUUUUUGGCACUGAGGUAGCCUCUGAUUUAAAAGCCUUCCCAGCAGAUCAGCAUGGCUGAACUCUGCUCCAGUGGGUAGAUGAGCUACUGCUGGCCAGACAGGUGCAGGAAGAUUAUGGAGAAUGAAAACAACUGCUCUGUACCCUUCUGUGGGAGGUGGCUACAUGAUUUGAAAGAAAACAGAUGCAAAUCUGUCAAGAAAAAGUCAAAUGCCUUGGUUCUCACCUAUCCCAAGAGGAGCAUUGACUCAGCCCAGCUGUUGGUUAUCGAGGUUUCAUCGACCUAACUCUAGGUUUGGGAGUUCCUCAGGGCCACAGAUUUUGGUAGAAUCUGAAUAUCUAAUUUCCCUGUCUUGUCAAAAUGACUAUAUGAGACCACAAAGGAAGAGAGCAAGACCCUCUGCCAUAGGAACAAGCACAACAGAAGGCUUUUGAAGAUAUUAAGAAAGUCCUCACUGAUGUGUCUGACCUUAGGACAUUCAGACUUGUCUACACACACUCGUGUGCAUGCAUGAACAUGUUGGCAUUAGGAUGGGUGGAGUUCCUUCCACAAAUGUUGGUGUCGUGGCAUUGCCUAGUGGCAUACCUUUCCAAUCAACUCCAUUCCCCAAGCCUGGCCACCCUGGCUCCUAGGCACUCACUGUCAUUGCCAUCCUAGUGUUAGAGGCUGACAGAUUGACUAUGGGAAAAGAAUUAAUAGUCUUAGUGCCACACCCAGUACUGACAUUAAUGGAGUGCAAGGGACAAUACUGGCUAACUAAUGCCUGGAUGGUCAAGUACCAGGAAAUGUGUGAGAACCUGAAUAUUCACCUAGAAGUAGUGUGGACCUCAAACUCUAGUAGACCCUAGUAUUUGUUGAUCUAGACCAGCAAGACCAUGACUGCAUCAAAGUCACGGAUGAGGUAUUUUCUUACCAAUUGAACUUAACUCUCAAGGACCCUGGAUGCUGAGUAUUUGACAAAUGGUAGCAGUUUUGUGAUAGGGAGAAUAUCUUUCACGAUACUUCAUUGUCAACUUGAGUUCCAUCAUUGAGAUGAAAUCUCUGCCAAAGGCAACCUCAGCACAAAAGGCAGAACUCAUCUCACUGACCUGAGCCCUGCUAUUGGCAGCAGGGAUGUGUGUCAGUAUACACAUAUACUCUCAAAUAUGCCUUCACCACUGUCCACAUACAUGAGACUUUAAAGACUACAAAGUGCCUAGUCAACUCAGUGGUGGCUCACACCUUUAAUCCCAGCACUUGGGAGGCAGAGGCAGGUUGAUCUCUGUGAGUUCCAGGACAGCCAGGGCUACAUAGUGAGACCCUGUCUCCUAGCUGGCCAGCUCUUGAGGCCACAUUAGGCUGACAUUUCUACAUCCCUUGACUCCACAGUUUAGCCCAGGUGUGCAGACCAUGUGAAUCAUGUUCCUGAAAUAACCUACACUGGGGAUCUAAGUUCUUUUCUAGGGUACAGAGUGUUGGAGGAGUCCCAUUUGAAAACUGACUUGUGAACUUCACUGAGCUUCCUCAAUCUUUGACUGCAAGUAUCUAUUACUCUUUAUGUAUGCAUUCUCAGGCUGGGUAGAGGCCUUCUUUACUAAUGAAGAGAAGGUGCACCGUCUCCUAAAGAAAAUCAUUCCCAGAUUUGGGAUCCCAAUCAUCAAAGAGUCUGGUAAUGGGUUAAUGUUUGGGGUGGCACAAUUGGUGGCAAAGGGGUUGAAGAUCACCUGGACACCACAUACUGUCCCAGAGCUCUGGGAAGAUGGAAUGAAUGAAACUGCAGCUGAACAAAAAACCAUGAGGGGAAACCUACCUGUACUAGGACCAGCUAUUGCCUAUUACUUUGUUGAGUAUUAGGUCUAGCCAUACUGGACAGACAGGGUUCUCCAUUAUCCUUUGUGGAUUCCUGUCUCUAAUACAGAGCUGUGUAGCAUUGCUCUGAGAUGACAAUUGUCGACUCUUGGUUUGUCCCUGAUUAUUGUACACCAUCGAGUUAGGGGGUGGUUACCUGCCAGCUUGAGCACAGAUGGUCACCUCUCUAAACCAGGACAUUCCGUAUGGGUAAAAGGAAGGAAUAUCUAACCCUCUCGUCCCUUUGAAUGGGUCCGUUCACUGUCACUUUGUCCAUGCCUAUUGCAGUAAAGGUGGUCCCCUAAGUUCCCCACAGCAGAGUGAAACCGGCCUCUGGAGACUGGGAAUGCACUUAAUGAUUCAUCAAUAAUAUGACUCACUCAUACAAGCUGACCAGCUGGAGGAAGAGAGCUGCGAUGCCAGAUACCCUGGAGGGCUGCUGCCCCACUUGAGUCACUCCAGAGGCUGACUAAUCUGUGUGUGACAGAAACUUGAGGGAUUGGCCAUCUGGUGGCAUAGACUGUUCCUGUUUCCGGUAUCAGUUCUUACUGUGAUACAUUGCCAUCCUUUGUCCCUGAUCUGUUGCUGUGAUCCUUGCCCUAACCUUUGCCAUAGGGCUGGCAGAGACCACUCUAGUCAACUAGAUAUGUGGUGAAUGGCUUCUGUUGGUGUUCUUUUUCCUCUUGUGGGCAGGAUAAUUCAUUGCUGGCUGCUACCCUUCUGGGCUUUGUUUUUAGACUUAAGUGUGUCUCCUGCAAGCUGUACCACUUGACAUGACCAGAAGGACAUCAUGAAAACCUUACUCUAUCACACCCAUUUCACUGGCCAAGGAAAGGUCUUAGGGCCCUACAGACAUGAUAAGACCACUAUUCCAUCUGCCAACUGGGAGAUCAAUAUACCUGUCUCAACCCACAGUACUCCCCCAUUGAGAAGUACAUAGAAGUCUGGAAAUGGUCCAGUGGAACCAGACUAACUGAAUCCAAGUUAUUGACCCAAAACAGCCAGCAUCCUUAUAUUUUGACAUGUGUGGCACCAUAAGUCACACCCAGUCAACUUAUAGUGAAUCAUGUGUGACUCUAUAUUGGGAACUAGAGUACAGACUUAAUGGAAGCUCCUUAACCAGGAAGGUAAACAACUCAACAUAGCUUCAGAAAGUUCCUGAAACAGACCAGAUUUACUAGGCCCCUUGCUCCUAGAGUAAGUAGUAAAGACUGCUGAGGAUCUCAGACAAGCCAAGCUGAAAAGAAAACAGACCAGACCAACUGCCUGGAAGAGGGUAGAACAGCUGAGCUCGAUGGAAAGGACAUUUUCCAGUCUUUUGAGUUGCCUCCAGGCUGUGCAAUGCACUCCAGGUUCCGGUUUUGUGAGCUGUCACUGAUACUGGGCUGGGCUUUGGUGAUACAGCUGUCUUUGAAUCAUUUCUGCUCCUGUAGGUAAACCCCUCAACUCCUGUAAACAACCCCAAUAAAACUCAUUGGUUCACAAAGUUGAA